UACGUAGGGGGCUAGCGUUGUCCGGAAUCAUUGGGCGUAAAGAGCGUGUAGGCGGCUCGAUAAGUCCGCUGUGAAAGUCCAGGGCUCAACCCUGGAAUGCCGGUGGAAACUGUCGGGCUGGAGUCCGGAAGAGGCGAGUGGAAUUCCUGGUGUAGCGGUGAAAUGCGCAGAUAUCAGGAGGAACACCAAUGGCGAAGGCAGCUCGCUGGGACGGUACUGACGCUGAGACGCGAAAGCGUGGGGAGCAAACAGG
rnacentral:rRNA from 1 species